GGCCCUGUCUGCCAAUGGUCAAGCUCUCUGAUUUUCACUCAGACAACGCGAGUUCGAUUCUCGCCAGGGUCA
rnacentral:tRNA from 1 species